AUUGCCUCCAACUCUCAACCCGCCUUGCAUUUGGCCUAACAGGGACCUCAAUACUUGAAUCCUCCUCUGGCUCACGGGUAUUAUUCCCACGGCCAUAAAUAGGGGUCACAUUCUUAAUGGCUACCUCUCCCUUGCAAACUGGGCACUCCUUUGCAUCUGAAUACACAUUUAGCCAUCUGUACAGGCAUGGCCAACAGAACAAAUGACCACAACAAGUAACAACUGGAUCUGUAGCCAAAUCCAGACAAAUAUUGCAAUCAAAGAAGCUCCCAUCACUGUCAUUUCGUUUCUCAACAUCACUCUUUUUCUCUGACACUUCGUCUUCCAAAAAUCCAUUGUUAUUUUCACACGUUUUGGGCACCUCAUUUGUUCUUUCUUCAGCAGCAACACUACCCUC
rnacentral:misc_RNA from 1 species